rnacentral:rRNA from 1 species
AAUAGAUACCCGGGUAGUCCACGCCGUAAACGAUGGAUACUAGCUGUUUGGGCGUAAGCUUGAGUGGCUAAGCGAAAGUGAUAAGUAUCCCACCUGGGGAGUACGGGCGCAAGCCUGAAACUCAAAGGAAUUGACGGGGGCCCGCACAAGCGGUGGAGCAUGUGGUUUAAUUCGAUGAUACGCGAGGAACCUUACCAGGGCUUAAAUGUGUUUUGACCGAUCUGGAAACAGAUCUUUCGCAAGACAAAAUACAAGGUGCUGCAUGGUUGUCGUCAGCUCGUGCCGUGAGGUGUCAGGUUAAGUCCUAUAACGAGCGCAACCCCUGUUGUUAGUUGCCAGCGAGUCAUGUCGGGAACUCUAGCAAGACUGCCAGUGUAAACUGUGAGGAAGGUGGGGAUGACGUCAAAUCAUCACGGCCCUUACGUCCUGGGCCACACACGUGCUACAAUGGACGGUACAGAGAGCAGCUACCAAGUGAUUGGAUGCGAAUCUAUAAAACCGUUCUCAGUUCGGAUCGGAGUCUGCAACG